rnacentral:rRNA from 1 species
AGGAAAAGGUACAAACUAUCCGGCAAAGGAGUCCGUGUUUGUGCCGUCCGUAGCUGGCCCUUCGGAAUAUGAUUUUGGUGGUACUAUAAAUCCAUCAAUAUCCAUGGCAUUUGGAGAGUAUCCAUCAUUUUUAGGUCAACCUAUCCAAGGAGAAUUCACAAGACUAUUGCUUGAAGCUCAUGGAGAUGGCACAACACCGCCGGCCGCUCGUCAACUGGAUUUCAGCGGUGGUGCUAGUACAUCAAGGUUUCAGCCAUGACGAGCCCGAUCGUGCGUUGAUGCAUAAUGUCUUGUUGGUUCCUCAAUGCUAGUUAGCUGGGCAUGUCAGCUAUAUGGUUUAUGUAUUUGGUUUACAUAAAACUGGAGCUAUCCUUUUAUUUUGCUGCUAUGUGUGUGUCACCUGACAAUGCUGAACAUCUGUUAUCAAACAUAUAUUCUAUUAAACUGAAGCUAUCAUUUUCUUCUACUGCUAUGUGCUAGUGUUUCACCUGAAGCUAUCAUUUUCUUCUGCUGCUAUGUGUGGACAAGAACAACUAUACAUUGCAAAUUCCACAAGCUUUCAUUCACACAGAAAUUCGUUUACAACAUAGGCCAGUCUUGUAAGAGAAUAAAAUUCAGAAAGGAAAAUACAGAAUAGUUGCCUUUGUUCAGGCUUUUACAGCUCAAAUCACACACAAAAAUCUACAGGAACUUGUUAGUUGAUGCUGUUUGGCGUGGCGCCGCGAGCUUGGCCGCCGGAAAACAUGGUGGGUGCCGGCGGGGAUGGAGAGCCACGAGCAGGCCGGCGUCGAGGAGCAUGCCGACGAGCAGCUACGAGCCUACGACGGUGCCGCGACCUGGGCCGCCAACGAACGCGGCCGUGCCCGCGGGAAUGGAGGACGUCGAGCAGGGGAGUUGGGUCCAGCGUCGAGGAGCACACCGGCGGCGAUGUGGCGAGCAGCCGGAGUGGAUCACGCCGGCGGCCGGAAUUGGGGGCGUUGGAGGAGUUGGGCUAGGGAUUUGAUGCACGCUCGACCUGGUCUUCGGCUCGGGAUAAGGUGACUCUGCGCU